AAAGAUUGUUUUAUUUCCUCUUUGGAGGCUUCAGAUGAAAAUAUUUGGAUGAGCAGCUAGUCUCUCAAAGAUUCAUUGGGACGGAAAUAAGCCAUGAGCAGAACUCUUAGUUUCAUCCGAACUGCUGAGGACUGUGUGAAUAGAAUCAGAAGGUUCUCUUUUGACAUGGUUUUGUGACUACAAAAAUGCUUCAAAGAACGGUGAUAGCUUCAGGAGGCCAUUAUCAAAAGAGACCAUCCAAAGCUGUUAAAUGAGCAUGUGAUUUAUAGCAUGGUGACCAUUGGACGUA
rnacentral:lncRNA from 1 species